ACAUAAUCUUACAUUGGCUUGGCAGAAAAGUAACUGUUUAGUUAAAGGAGCUAGGAGACCUAUGUGGUAUACCACUGAAUAGGAACUCACACAGGGACAGACUUGCAUAGCUUGGAGGUUCUGGAGAGAAUAACAUUGAGCUAUAUAUGUUGACCAGUGAAUAGAGUGUCCCUUUAAGUUAACCCUUACUUGGGGCAUUCAGAAAAUAUGUAUCUUGC